rnacentral:misc_RNA from 1 species
GGUUGGAUAAAUUGACAUGCCAAUAGGGUUUUGAUUUGCAGUACUGCUUAUGGCUUCAUGCCAUUCUGUUAUCAUGGCUUUCACGCCAUUUUGUUACAUGAUAGUGUAUAUGGCUUUAUGCCCGAUUGCUAUCAUGGCUUUUUAACCAUUCUGUUGCAUACCUGAUUGACAUUAUGUGUCCCACGGUAUGACGGCCCGGAGCACAAGUGUGUCCAGUGCUAGUUUACUUGCUUAUCCAAUCUAGUCAGUCUGUUAUAGGUUACUUGGGCAUUGAAAAAUAUUAAUGAGAUUAAAUAUGUGUUUAAAUGAAGCAAGAAAAUUGAAUAUCAAAAUAAAGAAAAAGAAAGAUUC